CCAAAUGGGAUUUCUGCUAAGGUAAGAGGAUGUGAGGCUAGGUCAGUGAGAUGAGGCAAGGUGAGACAGAACAAGAACUAUGGGAUGGUAGGUGUGCAGCUCUGACCACAAGGCCUCCCUCUGUAACUUAUGAGCAGACCACGGAGGCCUGAGUGUCCCACUUGUCCUGUGCUGAGCUGUAAGUCUGAUAUGUGCAGACCCCAGUGUUGUGAGGCUCCACAAUAUCUGUCCCUUUGAGACACUGCAGACCUUUGAGACACUGCACACCCACCAAAGCCACAUCCCACCAGAAAAUGCCAGCCUCCAAAUAGAGCCACAUGCAACACAUCCAAUCAUUAAUGGCAUGUGAGGCUUAAGCCCGCCCCUAAAGCACUCCGGCCCAAUGAGCAUCCGGGCAGAGACUCUAAACCUCCCCUAUUCCACCUUGGUCUUCCUGCCUGGGACAUUGAGCAUGCUCAGACUUGAGGUCGUUAAGGAACUGCUGAGGAGGUGCUGAGCCGUUGUGGAGGACGUCUGUGGAGUUCAUCUGGUGAGGGCAGUCCCAGGCCAGGGUGGCCAGGCUCAUGGUCUCCUCAGUGUCUGGACUUCCUCACAGCUCUGGUUUUUGAGAGGCUGAGGUGAAGACAAACCUGCCUUCUUGACAGCAAUCUCCUCUAAGACCAGGUCUAGUGAGGCCCUCUUCUCAGAGCCUGGAGACUCCUCACAGCCCAGUUCUUAUGAGGCUGAGAUGCCCUCAGUGAAGAUCUAGGAUGGCAGGAUGCAGUUCUGAAAAAAAUUAUAGGCUCUCAUCCAGAUUAUUAUGGGCUUAACGUUUUCAAUAUUUCUUUACUUCAUCUUAGUACCUGUGGGAUCUGCAAUAUCCCCUUUCUCAUUCCUUAUCAGCAGAAUCUGGAAGAAGAGAAGUUAUACAGUUGCCCCACAGAGAUGCCUCUUUGCUGUCUCAGUCUGGAUGCCUGUGGUAACAGUUGCAGUAGGAACAGCCCACCUGGAAGUCUUCCUGUCAGCAUCACUGGAUCCUGGGAACCCACAAUUUCCUGCUCUUCACCAAGUUCUGGAUAGCCAAACCACAAGAAAACCCUCUAAGGCAGAAAGCCACGAGUCGAUCAUGAAAAGUACCAGGGAAGGGCCAAUGAGAUGGGUAGCUGGGUGGAAGGAAAGAGCUGACUCCUCCUAAUUUGUUCAUUGACCUCCAUAUGAACGGAAUGACAGAAUGGCAUGAUGUGUAUUCUAUGUUCAUUCUUUCUCCAUUGUAUAGAUGUAUGUAUUUCCUCAUCACAAAAUAAGUCGAUAGAUGGAUGUUAUUAUUUUAAAUACCAAUCAGAAGAUUUCUAUACACUUAUCUUAUGAUAUAAUUAAUUUUUAAAAUAAUGAAAAAAAUCUCACACAGCUCACAACUGUUUGUAACUCCAGGAGAAGAGGAGUUGACACUCUCACACAGGCAUACAUGAAGGCAAAACACUAAUGUACAUAAAAUAGCAAAUAAACAAUUAAAUAUUUGUAGGAGCUAGUGGGGUCAGGAGUCCUACAAGCAUCCCACAGAACUAACUAACCUAGGUUCAUAGUGACUCAGAGACUGAACCACCAACCAGGGAGCAUGCAUGGGACUGACCUAUGUCCUCUCCAUGUAUUUUAUAGUUGUAUAACUUGAUAUUCUUGUGAGAUUCCUAACGGUGAGAGCAGGGCAUGUCUCUAAUGCCUGCUUUUGGGACCCAUUCCUCUUACUGAAUUGCUGUGUCCAGCCUUAAUGUAAGAAGUCAUGCCUAGUCUCACCACAACUUCAUAUAACAUGGCAGGCAGAAAUGCACAGGAGGCCUGUCCAUUUCUGAAGAGAAAAAGAGAGAAGGAGGAAUGGAUGGGGAGCAGGAAGAGUGGAGGGUGGAGGAGGGACUGAGAGGACAGGAUGGAGGGGAAAUUUUGGUUAGGAUAUAAAAACAGAAAUAAACAAAUAAAUAAAACCAAAUUUAUUCCAAAAGAGGAAGAAUAUUGAUGGUUACCAUAUUUAAAUUUGAGAUACUAAAAGAAUGUCCCUCCAGGGACUUUGCCACUUAUUUUAACUUUAUAAUGUGUUUCCACUUAUAAGGGAUUUCUGGGGAUGUCUUUCUGUAUGCUGUGAAUGUGUUGCUCUGAGUGAUUGAUAAAUAAACGCUAGUUGGACAGUAGCCAGGAAAGAAGUAUAGUAUUGGCAGUAUAAGCAGAGAGGAGAAUGCUGGGAGUGGAAGGAUGUGUCAGGAGCCGCGUACCGCCACCAUGAGAAGUAAGAUGUAAAGUGCCAGUGAGCAACAAGCCACAUGACAACUUAUAGAUUAAUAGAAAUGGGAUAAUUUAAGAUAUAAGAA